GUGCCAGCCGCCGCGGUAAGACAGAGGGUGCGAGCGUUGUUCGGAAUUACUGGGCGUAAAGCGCGCGCAGGCGGAUCCUGCAAGUCGGAAGUGAAAUGUGGCUGCUCAACGGCCACGCUGCUUCCGAUACUGCGGAUCUGGGGACCGGUAGAGGCUGGUGGAAUUGCAGGUGUAGCGGUGGAAUGCGUAGAGAUCUGCAAGAACACCCGUGGCGAAGGCGGCCAGCUGGGCCGGAUCCGACGCUGAGGCGCGAAAGCGUGGGGAGCAAACAGGAUUAGAUACCCUAGUAGUCC
rnacentral:rRNA from 1 species